rnacentral:misc_RNA from 1 species
GUGAAUCAUCGAAUCUUUGAACGCAAAUUGCACUCUCUUCGGAGAGUAUGCCUGUUUGAGGGUCAGCCUAAAAAAAAAUCGACAUAGUUGCUGUUUCGCGGUGACAUUCGUCGUUAAUUGGGUCAUCUUAAACCUUUGGUUUUUAAGCGGCUUAUAUUUUUCUUUACGAUUCCUCGUACGUUUCUAAGAUUUACUUCUUUCUUUUUAUGUAUCGAUUUUUAUUAUAUUUGUCCGUUGCAUCGUGUUACUUCCUUAAAUCUUUCGUU